AUGAUCUUGCGCAAUCACCAUGGGGAGGUGAUUUUUGCAUCUUGUCGAUUCCUGCCGAAGUGCUCGAGUGCGGUGGAAGCUGAGCUUUCGGCCUGUUUGGAGGGAGUGUCCCUAGCACUCGAAUGGAGCACUGAUCCAUUCAUCUUGGAGACGGACUGUACUAUAGCUGCAAGCAUGUUAAUGGAGACCGAAGUGAACAGAUCACCGGCUGCAGCGAUCGUCGAGGAGACCAAACGCCUGCUGCGUUUGGGACGGCCACAUAUUGUAUCCCAUGUUAGAAGAGAUAAAAACCAUGUUAGUCAUAGUCUGGCUCAAAUGGGGCGGCAGCCUAGGACAGCCAUAUGGCUUCGCCAUGCUCCAGGGGAGAUUCUUUCCUUAUGUACUAUGGACUGUGAUCCUCCUGAUUGA
rnacentral:rRNA from 1 species